GUGGGGAAUUUUGGACAAUGGGCGCAAGCCUGAUCCAGCCAUUCCGCGUGCAGGAUGAAGGCCUUCGGGUUGUAAACUGCUUUUGUACGGAACGAAAAGCCUCUGGUUAAUACCCGGGGGUCAUGACGGUACCGUAAGAAUAAGCACCGGCUAACUACGUGCCAGCAGCCGCGGUAAUACGUAGGGUGCGAGCGUUAAUCGGAAUUACUGGGCGUAAAGCGUGCGCAGGCGGUGAUGUAAGACAGUUGUGAAAUCCCCGGGCUCAACCUGGGAACUGCAUCUGUGACUGCAUUGCUGGAGUGCGGCAGGGGGGGAUGGAAUUCCGCGUGUAGCAGUGAAAUGCGUAGAUAUGCGGAGGAACACCGAUGGCGAAGGCAAUCCCCUGGGCCUGCACUGACGCUCAUGCACGAAAGCGUGGGGAGCAAACAGGAUUAGAUACCCUGGUAGUCC
rnacentral:rRNA from 1 species